GUGCCAGCCGCCGCGGUAAUACGGAGGGUGCGAGCGUUAAUCGGAAUUACUGGGCGUAUUGCGUACGCAGGCGGUUUGUUAAGCGAGAUGUGUUAGCCCCGGGCUCAACCUGGGAACUGCAUUUCGAACUGGCAAACUAGAGUGUGAUAGAGGGUGGUAGAAUUUCAGGUGUAGCGGUGAAAUGCCAAGAGAUUUGAAGGAAUACCGAUGGCGAAGGCAGCCACCUGGGUCAGCACUGACGCUCAUGUACGAAAGCGUGGGGAGCAAACAGGAUUAGAAAC
rnacentral:rRNA from 1 species